CGGUGAUUAGCAGUGCGUCUUCCACCUAACGACCCUUGAUGAUUAUGAUACGAUGCCUGGUCAACAGAACUAUACUACACCAAAUUUAGUAAAUGAGAC
rnacentral:snoRNA from 21 species